CAACAUCCACCUCUAAUAUCAUAAUACAACAGAAGGCAUUAUUUUUGGAGCAGCCCUCGUACGAUGCACUUGCUAAAAAAGGAGCAUUACCAGCAUAGCCAACAGAAGCAUUUCUAGCUGUGAUGCUGACAGUUUUUCCUAAAGGACAGUACAAGGACCACUAUAUUGCCAAAAUUUCUCUCUCAGUAAAUAAAACUUGGAUCCUACUUUUUUGGAGAUAUGGAAAGGCUAAAACAGGGGGACCAGUUAUUGAAGUGGUGCUGCAGCAUUGGUUCUGCAAUACCCCUUCUCACUUAGACUGCAGCAAUGUUAAAAGUGAACCACUGACAGAUAGGUGACUGCAGGCAUUUGAGUACCUUCUCCCAGGAAGAGUGGGGUGGAUGAUUUAAUGCUACUCUUUCCUUAGGCUACCCCCACUACAGUUACUUGUUGACACCGUGCACAAUGAACAGAAUGACUUGAGUAUUAAAUACAUUGCUGGAGGUCUCACUGAACUGCUAUUAGAAGCCGUCAAAAAAAGCAAACAAAACAUUGCUAUUUUCCACUGAGCUCUUUAUACAGCCUAAAACCUUAAUACUGUUAUAUAAAAAUCAAUGGCCUUGCUUAAGAACAUCGUGAUCCGCUCUAAUCAAGCUCUCUCGUAGGCAUGGUAUGAAGCAUAUGGAGAGUGGUGACUGAAACACGAGGUGUACGAUUGGAAGCCAUUUGCAAGACAGGGACUGCUUCAGAAGGGGGAUAUUAAGGAACGUUGCUGGAGGCUUGAGCUGUGAUGAGUUGCUUGGACAGCACACUGGCUAAAGCCCAUCAAACAUCUCCAAAGUUGUCAUGGAAGGAGGCACAUUUAAAUACUGAUUUUGGAAGUGGGAUUGAUGGGACAGUGGAAAGGUUCAAAGAUCACAGGAAACAGCUAGCAAGUGCCAAACUGCAGAAGAACUGAGGCAUUUCUGAGAAAAUGAAUACAUAAAUAAAAAUAGUAAAAUUGUA